CACACCCACUAGGAUGGCUGUAAAUUUAAAAAACAGAAAAUAAGCAUUGCUGACGAUGUGGAGAAAUGGGAACCCUCACACUUUGCUGGUGGAAACAUAAAAUGCUGCAGUCCCUGUGGAAAACCGUUUGCAGGUCCUCAAAAAGUUUGACACAAAAUCACUGUAUAACCCAGCAAGUCCAUCCCUAGGUACCUACACGGAGAGGAAAACUGGCAUGCAAGCAAGUCCACGUACACGAACGUUCGCGGCAGCGCUACUCACAACAGCAAACAGGCAGAAACAGCCCACAUGUCUACCGAGAGGUGAACUGAUGCUCAAAUUGUGGCACAGCAAAGCCUGGUCCUCUGUGGAUUCACCUACUCGCUGAAGUUUAUUUGUAAACCGCAAAUCAAUCCUCUCUGCUUUCAGUCAUUUGCAGACACGCACACAACAGCAAAAAAUCCGAUUCGCCCAAUGCACACAUCCCCGGAUGCCAAACAAGGCAAUGCUAUCUUGUUUCAGAAAAAUUUCUUUACAACACACAUAUAUUACACUUCUGUAAUCAGACGAAGCCCUCCAAUUUUUUUUUUUCCUUGAGAGAAAAGAGCAAUUUAUCUGUAAGAGAGCAACCCGCCAACAGGUCAUAUAAAACGUGGCUGCAGUUAAGUUCUAGUGUGUGAAUACCACAUGAGCAGACAACGCCACACUCAAGGUCAAGCACACUACACGCCUGUACGAGAAGGGGUGCUAGUUUGAGAAAGCACCUUUGCUGCUCUGGUCAUAGACCCGGCCCACUCACUAGAGAAGCCAGACAACAUCUCUUUCCUGGCUGGACCCUCAGCCCUCUAGGUCGCCUGAAGUCUCCGGGGCUCCCCCUCCACCCCACUUUCCUGCCCAGGAAACUGGAAAGAAGCCGACAUCAGCUCAACCACCACAAACACUUGGGAAAUGGUUAACAUGCGCCGGGGCCGGGGCCAAGUGCUCUACCCAGCGUCUCUCUCUGCAGCUUCCCAGAAGCCCUGAGCAGCAGAUACAGCAGAUAAAAUGGUCACAAACCCAUUUUACGGAUGGAGAAACUGACACCCUGAGGAGUAACCUGCCCACAGCGACACAGCCAGGGCCUGGGAUUUGCACCUAGCAUGCUCCUCAUUGCUCUCUCCCUCCCAGUCUAGACACCACCACCUCCCCGCCCCAGCCCGACCUGUCACUGCCCUCGCGUCUCACCACCUUAAAGUUCUCCUCACUUUACCUACCACAGACAAACAAGCUGUGGCAAACAACCAAAUGCAACCUUGCCCACGUCAGGGUAGAAAAAUCAUCGUAAAUCCACUCACUGUGACCCUGUUCCAAAUAGCACGCCGUAUUCUCUGAUCUGUACCAGCUGCUUUUACAAUUAACCAACUUUCCUACAAUUAUUUGAGCUUUACAAAACAUCUAAAGUAGGGACUCACAUGUAAACAAUAUUUGCAGGACAUAAUACAUAAAAAAAAACUGUCCCUGGCACUAGGUGUAAGUAAAUGCUGGAAUUCAUUAAAAACUAUCAUUGUAGGCCGUGCCUGUUUCAGGGAGGUAUUUUUUUUUUUUAAGCCAGCUUUUGCAAACCAUGUCUCAGGUAUUUAAGCAACAGGUGUGUGUUUGCGCAUAGCUGGUCCCAAUCCCGGCUCCGCCAAUUACUAUGUGGCCCUGACCAAGUGACUCGGUACCCAGGGGCUCCUCCAUGCAAGGACUGUGGCAGUUACCUUCCUCCGCAGCUUGUCUGGAGACUAAGUAAGGACGUUAUUAGCACACACACGCCCACAGCUGUGAUGAGCACUGUCUGCCCAGGCCUUGCCCGUGGUGGCCGCACCUCCCGGGUUCGAUGAGCACAGGGCUCUCUAAGCUCUGGGGCACAGCCACCAUCAGGGAGAGAGGAGUCCAGUGAACCGGGCACAGAGCACAAGGAGGCAGCCAGCCUUUGUCCCGGCAGAGGCAACACUGUAAUUCUCAGAACAGACUCACAGCGGAGCUCCGGCCCCAGCCACGCAGCCUCUGCAGGAAUUGUUCAGAGAAAUAAACACCGAGCAACGUGCCUUUUUUUCCCCAACAGAAAACCUGGCCUUCCUCCAACAGAGUUCAAAUGGAAACACAUGCUGAGAUCUGAAAAACCUGCUACACCUAAAAUGGGAGAAUUUUGCCGUAUGUAAAUUACACCUCGCUAAACCAGACUUAAACAAAAUAUCUUGACCUGAAACCAGGUGUUGCCGUGAGUAGCUGGACAUGCGGAGCCUGCGCACAUGCUCCCACUAAAGGGGCGCCUGGAGAAGUGGAAACGUGCUUGGGGCAGCGCCUAGCGCCUUCCAAAGGAGCAAGGCAACAACAAACAGGCUCUCUGCUCUCUGGAGGACCACGGGGUCCCAACAGCGCAGGUAAAGCCCCAAGAAAUCCCAAAGAGCAGGCAGGGAUACAGAGAACACCCUUAGAAAGGGCACACUGCCCCUCACCGCCCAGCACAGGGCGGGUGCUGAGCCCAGCAGUGACAGGCCCGAGGCCAGAGGGCCACCCACUUCCUUUCCCUACCAGUGGCAGACAAACACGUAGAACGUCGGGGAACUCGGCACAGAAACGGCACUGCAGUCUGGACUUCAGGCUCAGGGCCCGGGAGACCAAGCACGGAAAUCCGGUCCCACGUGCUGGAAAGGUCACUCGGCUCCCUGCGGGGCAGCACAUCCAAGCUCCACUCCUGGAGGCCCUUACCGCCAGGAGGUUUGCGGAACAGUGCCAUUCCUGCCACACGUCUCGCAUGGCCGGUGUAAACCAGGCGCUCGGUCAUUAAAGAUUCUGGUCAGAAGAUGCCCUGUAAGUUUAUCUAACCAGGUAAACUUACCUAACCAGGUAAACAUCUGCUCAUUGUUGGACAUUUAAGUUAUUUCCAGAUCUCUUGUCACUUCGUAUGGCCCAGUGACUAACCUCUAGGACCUUGGAGGAACCUAUGUCACUGCAGACGUGUUCUCUAGGUGACUGGACUGGCUAUGGCCAGCUGCUCCCCUGGAGAAGCGGCACCCUGGAGCACGGCCACCUGCUCUCAAGAGCAAUUGGAUGGAAACUGACAUACGCCCCAUGGCGCUCACUGGUGCGUCUGUGCGCAAUGGGGACCAGAGCAGUCCCUCACGCCGGGACGGCCACUUCUACCACCUCCUUUGCAAGCUGCCCUUGGCCUGGGGCCUCCACUGGAGCGUGCAUCCUGCCCGCUACUGC